CUCGCUUCUCUGCCCUUUUGACUAGAUCAGUAGUAUCUGUUCUUUUUGUCCCUUUAACAUCUGAUAUUCCUCUACCAAGCGACAAACAUAUUAAAUGAUUUUUAGCAAUGGAGUUGAAAAAAGGGGCUUGCGCCAGUCACCCGACGCAUUGCCCCGGUAUUGCAAGCAUUGCCGGAACAGAAAUGGU